GGGUUGUGAGGUUAAGCGACUAAGCGUACACGGUGGAUGCCCUGGCAGUCAGAGGCGAUGAAGGACGUGCUAAUCUGCGAAAAGCGUCGGUAAGGUGAUAUGAACCGUUAUAACCGGCGAUGUCCGAAUGGGGAAACCCAGUGCAAUUCGUUGCACUAUCGUUAACUGAAUACAUAGGUUAACGAGGCGAACCGGGGGAACUGAAACAUCUAAGUACCCCGAGGAAAAGAAAUCAACCGAGAUUCCCCCAGUAGCGGCGAGCGAACGGGGAGCAGCCCAGAGUCUGAAUCAGCUUGUGUGUUAGUGGAACGGUCUGGAAAGUCCGACGGUACAGGGUGAUAGUCCCGUACACCAAAAUGCACAGGUUGUGAACUCGAAGAGUAGGGCGGGACACGUGGUAUCCUGUCUGAAUAUGGGGGGACCAUCCUCCAAGGCUAAAUACUCCUGACUGACCGAUAGUGAACCAGUACCGUGAGGGAAAGGCGAAAAGAACCCCGGCGAGGGGAGUGAAAAAGAACCUGAAACCGUGUACGUACAAGCAGUGGGAGCACCUUCGGGUGUGACUGCGUACCUUUUGUAUAAUGGGUCAGCGACUUAUAUUCUGUAGCAAGGUUAACCGUAUAGGGGAGCCGCAGGGAAACCGAGUCUUAACUGGGCGUUAAGUUGCAGGGUAUAGACCCGAAACCCGGUGAUCUAGCCAUGGGCAGGUUGAAGGUUGGGUAACACUAACUGGAGGACCGAACCGACUAAUGUUGAAAAAUUAGCGGAUGACUUGUGGCUGGGGGUGAAAGGCCAAUCAAACCGGGAGAUAGCUGGUUCUCCCCGAAAGCUAUUUAGGUAGCGCCUCGUGAAUUCAUCUUCGGGGGUAGAGCACUGUUUCGGCUAGGGGGUCAUCCCGACUUACCAACCCGAUGCAAACUACGAAUACCGAAGAAUGUUAUCACGGGAGACACACGGCGGGUGCUAACGUCCGUCGUGAAGAGGGAAACAACCCAGACCGCCAGCUAAGGUCCCAAAGUCAUGGUUAAGUGGGAAACGAUGUGGGAAGGCACAGACAGCCAGGAUGUUGGCUUAGAAGCAGCCAUCAUUUAAAGAAAGCGUAAUAGCUCACUGGUCGAGUCGGCCUGCGCGGAAGAUGUAACGGGGCUAAACCAUGCACCGAAGCUGCGGCAGCGACACUAUGUGUUGUUGGGUAGGGGAGCGUUCUGUAAGCCUGCGAAGGUGGCCUGUGAGGGUUGCUGGAGGUAUCAGAAGUGCGAAUGCUGACAUAAGUAACGAUAAAGCGGGUGAAAAGCCCGCUCGCCGGAAGACCAAGGGUUCCUGUCCAACGUUAAUCGGGGCAGGGUGAGUCGACCCCUAAGGCGAGGCCGAAAGGCGUAGUCGAUGGGAAACAGGUUAAUAUUCCUGUACUUGGUGUUACUGCGAAGGGGGGACGGAGAAGGCUAUGUUAGCCGGGCGACGGUUGUCCCGGUUUAAGCAUGUAGGCUGGUUAUCCAGGCAAAUCCGGAUAAUCAAGGCUGAGGUGUGAUGACGAGGCACUACGGUGCUGAAGUAACAAAUGCCCUGCUUCCAGGAAAAGCCUCUAAGCAUCAGGUAACAUCAAAUCGUACCCCAAACCGACACAGGUGGUCAGGUAGAGAAUACCAAGGCGCUUGAGAGAACUCGGGUGAAGGAACUAGGCAAAAUGGUGCCGUAACUUCGGGAGAAGGCACGCUGGUGUGUAGGUGAAGUCCCUGCGGAUGGAGCUGAGACCAGUCGAAGAUACCAGCUGGCUGCAACUGUUUAUUAAAAACACAGCACUGUGCAAACACGAAAGUGGACGUAUACGGUGUGACGCCUGCCCGGUGCCGGAAGGUUAAUUGAUGGGGUUAUCCGUAAGGAGAAGCUCUUGAUCGAAGCCCCGGUAAACGGCGGCCGUAACUAUAACGGUCCUAAGGUAGCGAAAUUCCUUGUCGGGUAAGUUCCGACCUGCACGAAUGGCGUAAUGAUGGCCAGGCUGUCUCCACCCGAGACUCAGUGAAAUUGAACUCGCUGUGAAGAUGCAGUGUACCCGCGGCAAGACGGAAAGACCCCGUGAACCUUUACUAUAGCUUGACACUGAACAUUGAGCCUUGAUGUGUAGGAUAGGUGGGAGGCUUUGAAGCGUGGACGCCAGUCUGCGUGGAGCCAACCUUGAAAUACCACCCUUUAAUGUUUGAUGUUCUAACGUUGGCCCCUGACCGGGGUUGCGGACAGUGUCUGGUGGGUAGUUUGACUGGGGCGGUCUCCUCCCAAAGCGUAACGGAGGAGCACGAAGGUUAGCUAAUCCUGGUCGGACAUCAGGAGGUUAGUGCAAUGGCAUAAGCUAGCUUGACUGCGAGCGUGACGGCGCGAGCAGGUGCGAAAGCAGGUCAUAGUGAUCCGGUGGUUCUGAAUGGAAGGGCCAUCGCUCAACGGAUAAAAGGUACUCCGGGGAUAACAGGCUGAUACCGCCCAAGAGUUCAUAUCGACGGCGGUGUUUGGCACCUCGAUGUCGGCUCAUCACAUCCUGGGGCUGAAGUAGGUCCCAAGGGUAUGGCUGUUCGCCAUUUAAAGUGGUACGCGAGCUGGGUUUAGAACGUCGUGAGACAGUUCGGUCCCUAUCUGCCGUGGGCGCUGGAGAAUUGAGGGGGGCUGCUCCUAGUACGAGAGGACCGGAGUGGACGCAUCACUGGUGUUCGGGUUGUCAUGCCAAUGGCACUGCCCGGUAGCUAAAUGCGGAAGAGAUAAGUGCUGAAAGCAUCUAAGCACGAAACUUGCCCCGAGAUGAGUUCUCCCUGAGACUUUAAGUCUCCUGAAGGAACGUUAAAGACGAUGACGUUGAUAGGCCGGGUGUGUAAGCGCAGCGAUGCGUUGAGCUAACCGGUACUAAUGAACCGUGAGGCUUAACCUUACAACGCCGAAG
rnacentral:rRNA from 1 species